CCUACGGGUGGCAGCAGUGAGGAAUAUUGGUCAAUGGACGAGAGUCUGAACCAGCCAAGUAGCGUGAAGGAUGACUGCUCUAUGGGUUGUAAACUUCUUUUAUAAAGGAAUAAAAGGAGGCACGUGUGCCUUUUUGCAUGUACUUUAUGAAUAAGGAUCGGCUAACUCCGUGCCAGCAGCCGCGGUAAUACGGAGGAUCCGAGCGUUAUCCGGAUUUAUUGGGUUUAAAGGGAGCGUAGAUGGUUUGUUAAGUCAGUGGUGAAAGUGUGCGGCUCAACUGUAAAAUUGCAAUUGAUACUGGCAGUCUUGAGUACAGUUGAGGUAGGCGGAAUUCGUGGUGUAGCGGUGAAAUGCUUAGAUAUCACGAAGAACCCCGAUUGCGAAGGCAGCUUACUAAGCUAUGACUGACAUUGAUGCUCGAAAGUGUGGGGAUCAAACAGGAUUAGAUACCCUAGUAGUC
rnacentral:rRNA from 1 species